rnacentral:rRNA from 1 species
UUCGAUCCUGGCUCAGAUUGAACGCUGGCGGGAUGCUUUACACAUGCAAGUCGAACGGCAGCACGGACUUCGGUCUGGUGGCGAUGGCGAACGGGUGAGUAAUGUAUCAGACAGUGCUGGCGGGGAUAAUACGCGGCGUAGCUAAUACCAUACGCCCUUCGAGGAAAGCAGGGGACGCUGGGCCUCGCACUGGCCAGAAGCAGCGAUGUCGGAUUGGCUAGUUGGUGGGGUAACGGCUCACCAAGGCGACGAUCCGUAGCUGGUUUGAGAGGACGACCAGCCACACUGGGACUGAGACACGGCCCAGACUCCUACGGGAGGCAGCAGUGAGGAAUUUUGAAUAAUGGAAACCUGAUCCAGCCAUCCACGUGUGCAUUGAAGGCCUUCGGGUUGUAAAGCACUUUUGGCAGGAAAACGGCACGGGAUAAUACCCCGUGCAACUGACGGUAUACAAGAAUAAGCACCGGCUAACUACGUUGCCAGCAGCCGCGGUAGCGUAGGGUUACAGAAGCGUUAAUCGAGAUUACUGGGCGUAAGCGUGCGCAGGCGGUUCGGAAAAGAAAGAUGUGAAAUCCCGAGCUUAACUUUGGAACUGCAUUUUAUCUGACUAGAGUGUGUCAGAGGAGGUGGAAUUCCGCGUGUAGCAGUGAAAUGCGUAGAUAUGCGGAGGAACACCGAUGGCGAAGGCAGCCUCCUGGGAUAACACUGACGCUCAUGCACACAGCGUGAAACCGACAGGAUUAGAUACCCUGGCUAGUCACGCCUAAACGAUGUCAACUAGCUGUUGGGGCCUUCGGGCCUUGGUAGCGCAGCUAACGCGUGAAGUUGACCGCCUGGGGUACGGUCGCAAGAAGAUUAAAACUCAAAGGAAUUGACGGGGACCCGCACAAGCGGUGGAUGAUGGAUUAAUUCGAUGCAACGCGAAAAACCUUACCUUGACAUGGAAUCCCGAAGAGAUUUGGGAAUUGCUCGCAAAGAGAACCGGAACACAGGUGCUGCAUGGCUGUCGGCUCGUGUCGUGAGAUGUUGGGUUAAGUCACAACGAGCGCAACCCUUGUCAUUAGUUGCUACCCGAAAGGCACUCUAAUGAGACUGCCAUUUGACAAACCGGAGGAAGGUGGAUGACAUCAAGUCCUCAUGGCCCUUAUGGGUAGGGCUUCACACGUCAUACAAUGGUCGGGACAGAGGGUCGCCAACCCCGCGAGGAACAAUCCCAGAAACCCGAUCGUAGUCCGGAUCGCAGUCUGCAACUCGACUGCGUGAAGUCGGAAUCGCUAGUAAUCGCGGAUCAGCAUGUCGCGAGUGGAGCGUUCCCGGGUCUUGUACACCGCCCGUCACACCAUGGGAGUGGGUUUUACACCAGAAGUAGUUAGCCUAACCGUAAGGGCGAUUACCACGGUAGGAUUCAUGACUGGGGUGAAGUCGUAACAAGGCG